UUGCAUUCUGGCAUUUGGCGAGUGCGAAACGAUGAAGAUUAAGGCAGCGAUUCUCCUCUUUGUGAUUUCUCUGGCCAUGGCUGCAGGCAUCGUGGCCCCGGACUGUCCCAGGUGGUCCAAGUGCUGGAAGGAUUACCAGCACGGCAGGAUCAUUUACCGCUAGUCUGUACCAGGCACAUAUACUAAGAAUAAUUUAUGCCUAAUCAUAGCCCCAUUAAAGCCUUUUUCCAUUACGCCUAAUUAAA